rnacentral:lncRNA from 1 species
CGCAAAGUCAGCCUUCCGGCGUCCCUUUCGGGAACAUUCGGCUAUUUAUGGCAAAACAACAUCACCCGACUUAUUUACGACAAAAAUCAAUAUUUGACAUAUUAUUUAUUUAUUAUUAUUAUUAUUAUUAAUUAAUUGUUUUUGGCUUUUUAGCAAAAGAUGGGGUUGGAACCGAUGAGGGUUGCCUACGUAUCUCACACCCGGUGAGAAUCAAACCCGCGUAGUUCGGGCAAAUAAACUGUUUUUGAGAGGACCCUUUUCCAUUUUCUAUAUUUUUUUAUUAUUAUUUUUUUUUCACAACCAUCAAAUAGACUAUUAUUUUUCAUUCGUAACAAACAAACAAAUUAACGAAACACAUAGAACAUUCCUUCUUUUUUGAGAAGGUGGGGUUGGACCCGAUGAGGGUUGCCUACGUAUCUCACAUCCGGUGAGAAUCAAACCCGCGUAGUUCGGUCGAAUAAACUAUUUUUGAGAGGACCCUUUUCCAUUUUCUAUAUUUUUUUUUAUUCUUUUUUUCACAGCAAUCAAAUAGACUAUUAUUUUUCAUUCAUAACAAACAAACAAAUUAACGAAAAACAUAAAACAUUCCUUAUUUUUUGAGAAGGUGGGGUUGGACCCGAUGAAGGUUGCCUACGUAUCUCACAUCCGGUGAGAAUCAAACCCGCGUAGUUCGGUCAAAAGAACUACUUUAAAAGAAGAAAGGAAGCAUUUUUUUGAUUUUCCUUUUUUUUUAAAAGAAACACUUCUAAGAUAUAUUUUUUGAAUUUUCAUUUGCUCUUUUUUUUUUUU